AUGUUCCAUGUUUCAUCACAAGCGGAAGUGCAAAAACGAAUGCCUAAAAAUAUGAAUCCACAAUCUAAUAUUUAUGUAAUUAUCUUGUACAAUUGUACUAACUUGUAUAUGUCAUUAGUGGAACAGAAACAUGCCUGUGAGAAUGAGAAGCCAAUUUUUCUUUUGGUGAGCCACCAAAUUAAUCCGGUAGAACACUCUGAAGUUGAUUUAUACCCCCAAAACUACGGGUUGAGUUCGUAA